GCAGUGGUGAUUCAGUGGUAGAAUUCUCGCCUUCUAUGCGGGUGACCCAGGUUUGAUUCCAGCCAAGGCA
rnacentral:tRNA from 1 species